UACGGAGGGUGCAAGCGUUGCUCGGAAUUAUUGGGCGUAAAGGGCAGGUAGGUGGUCUUAUUUGUCUAGGGUGAAAUCCUGGAGCUCAACUCCAGAACUGCCUUUGAUACUGGGGAUCUCGAGUCCGGAAGAGGUGAGUGGAACUCCGAGUGUAGAGGUGAAAUUCGUAGAUAUUCGGAAGAACACCAGUGGCGAAGGCGGCUCACUGGUCCGGUACUGACGCUGAGGUGCGAAAGCGUGGGGAGCAAACAGG
rnacentral:rRNA from 1 species